rnacentral:rRNA from 1 species
UGGGGAAUAUUGGACAAUGGGGGCAACCCUGAUCCAGCAAUGCCGCGUGAGUGAUGAAGGCCUUAGGGUUGUAAAGCUCUUUCGGCGGGGACGAUGAUGACGGUACCCGCAGAAGAAGCCCCGGCUAACUUCGUGCCAGCAGCCGCGGUAAUACGAAGGGGGCUAGCGUUGUUCGGAAUUACUGGGCGUAAAGGGCGCGCAGGCGGCUCUUCAAGUCAGAUGUGAAAGCCCCGGGCUCAACCUGGGAACUGCAUUUGAGACUGGAGAGCUUGAGUUCGGGAGAGGAUGGUGGAAUUCCCAGUGUAGAGGUGAAAUUCGUAGAUAUUGGGAAGAACACCGGUGGCGAAGGCGGCCAUCUGGACCGAUACUGACGCUGAGGCGCGAAAGCGUGGGGAGCAAAC